GGGGUAAUAGCUCAGUGGUAGAGCGCAUGAUUAGCAUGCACAAGGUCCUGGGUUUAACCCCCAGCAUCUCCA
rnacentral:tRNA from 1 species